AUUGAACGCUAGCGGGAUGCCUUACACAUGCAAGUCGAACGGCAGCACGGACUUCGGUCUGGUGGCGAGUGGCGAACGGGUGAGUAGCGUAUCGGAACGUGCCCAGUAGCGGGGGAUAACUACGCGAAAGCGUAGCUAAUAACGCAUACGCCCUAAGGGGGAAAGCGGGGGAUCGCAAGACCUCGCACUAUUGGAGCGGCCGAUAUCGGAUUAGCUAGUUGGGGGGGUAAAGGCCUACCAAGGCGACGAUCCGUAGCUGGUUUGAGAGGACGGCCAGCCACACUGGGACUGAGAAACGGCCCAGACUCCUACGGGAGGCAGCAGUGGGGAAUUUUGGACAAUGGGGGCAACCCUGAUCCAGCCCUUUCGCGUGUGCGAUGAAGGCCUUCGGGUUGUAAAGCACUUUUGGCAGGGAAGAAAGGGCUUAGGUUAAUAGCCUAGGUUGAUGACGGUACCUGCAGAAUAAGCACCGGCUAACUACGUGCCAGCAGCCGCCGUAA
rnacentral:rRNA from 1 species